GAGCACGUAGGUGGGUUUGUAAGUCAGAUGUGAAAGCCUUCUAUUCAAAGGAAGAGCGGCAUCUGAAACUGCAGAUCUUGAGUGUAGGAGGGGAGAGUGGAACUUCUGGUGGAGCGGUGAAAUGCGUAGAUACCAGAAGGAACGUCGGCGGCGAAAGCGACUCUCUGGCCUAUUACUAACACUGAGUGUGCGAAAGUUGGGGGAGCAAACGGGAUUAGAUACCCCGGUAGUCCUAACUGUAAACGAUGGGCACUAAGUAGAGGGGU
rnacentral:rRNA from 1 species